rnacentral:rRNA from 1 species
GACGAACGCUGGCGGCGUGCUUAACACAUGCAAGUCGAACGAUGAAGCGGGUGCUUGCACUCGUGGAUUAGUGGCGAACGGGCGGGUAACACGUGAGUAACCUGUCCUUUUCUUUGGGAUAACGGCUGGAAACGGCUGCUAAUACUGGAUAUUCAGGCUGCAUCGCAUGGUGUGGUUUGGAAAGGUUUUUUCUGGGAUUGGGUGGGCUCGCGGCCUAUCAGCUUGUUGGUGGGGUGAUGGCUUACCAAGGCUUUGACGGGUAGCCGGCCUGAGAGGGUGGUCGGUCGCACUGGGACUGAGAUGCGGCCCAGGGUCCUAAGGGAGGCAGAAGUGGGGAAUAUUGCAGAAUGGACGAAAGUUUGAUGCAGCGACGCCGAGUGGAGGGUGUAGGCCUUCGGGUUGUGAACUCCUUUUUCUCGCGAAAAAGGCACAGUUUUGGCUGUGUUGAUGGUAGUGGGGGAAGAAGCGCCGGCUAACUACGUG